rnacentral:lncRNA from 1 species
CUAAAUCCAAGAGUUGGAAAGAGGCGUACUCAUUUGCUCGGGCCACCACAACAAGCAGCACAGGCUGGGUGGCUUAGACAGCGGAGAGUCAUUUUCUCAUCGUUCUGGAGGUUAGAAGUUUGAGAUCAGUGUGUUGGCAGCCUUGGCUUCUUCUAAGUUCUCUCUCCUUGACUUCUUGGCUCAGAGACAGCCGUCCUCCUGCAGUGUCUUCACACGGUCUUUCUUCUGUGUGUGUGUCCUGAUCUCCUCUUCUCAUAAGGCAUGUGUCAUAUUGGAUUAGGACCCACCCAUAUUGAUAUCGACCCUGAUCUCAGUUUCCUCACGUUAAUCCCAGCAUAUAUGGGGUUAAAACCAAACACUCAUUCCCUGCUUACUCUCUGGCUUCCUGGCUCCAGAAUCCACUAUCCUCCAUGGAGACAGACACCGUCAAGGACAAGCACCUGGACUAUCUCCUCCCACAAAGAGAUACAGACUGGUGGGAAAGCUGCUGACCAGCAAGGUCACAGGCUUCCUCCUCUCUGUAAAUGUCUCAAGGCCGAAGACAGGCUGGUUGGGAAAGCUCCGACCAGCAAGGCCAUAUGCUCCCCCUCCCCUACCUAAAACCCCAAAUAGAAACCCUUCCUUUUAGCUUUUCGGGGAGUUUGGGAUUUCAGCGUUAGCUGCCCUCUCUCCUUGCUCAGCACUGUGCAAAAAUAAAGUUCCUACUUUCUUCCACCACCCCCGGUGUCAGAGAUUGGCUUGCUGCGCAACGGGUGAGGGAACUCACUUCAGGUUCGGUAACAAUUUGGCACCCCACAUGGGACAGUGUCCCAGGUGGACGUCUCGCCUGUGGCACACCGGCCUCUGGCUAAAGGCCUCUCUUGGAAGCUGUCCUGCAGCUGCCUGAGCCCCUUGUCUCAGGGACAGCCCCAAGUGACUGGCUGCUAGCCAGACCUUGUUGGCCCAUGGCGCUUUUGCUUUGGUGGUGGAAGAAACCAGGUUUAGGACAUAGGAAGACGUCUCCUAGAAAUUCAUGGAAAGGACUCUGACACUCUGGAAUACAGGUUUCCAGUAAACGUUCAGAUUGUAAAACUAAACUGGAGUGAAGAAAACUUUUUUUCUCUAUUCUCUGAAAGAACUAUGACUUGCAACAAUUUAUAAACAAAAUUGAAACAUUUGUCUUUUCCUCCCUAUCUGAGCCCCCCAAAACGCAAAAACUUCUGAUAAGUAAGUAUUCUUAUUCUUAUGGCAAUAUAGUUGUUUGCAUAAGUGCAAUAAGAAUCUGUUCUUCUUUCAACAGGACACAAUUGGAAACAGUGGUUAUAUGACCAAGGCUUUGACUGGAACAUCGUGUUUGAAAAAACAUACGGGCUUGACUAUAACAAGACAGCUUUUGAGGAAUGAAGGUUGACAUUCUGGAAUAAAGCCACUUGGAAAUAUUGGCCUGGUACUGUGCUUAUGGGUUCUGUAACCUGGUAAGGUUGAGCAAAGAAUGUCACUCCCUCUGGCAGGUACCAGGAACCUCAAUAUUUUGGGGAACCUCACGAAGAGAGAGAUUCACCCAAAUCUGCAGGUCCUGCAGGCAGAAUGUGAUACAGGUCCUUUGCUUGGCUUUCCUUGAGAGGCCUUUAAAGAUCAACCUGAGGUUCCAUAUAAGGUUCCAGCAAAGCAGAUUUAAAAGAGCCUAUAUGAUCAGUUACUAUUCUUGCUGUGCUUAUGUAAAUAAUUAUGCCAAAUUUAUUAAAACUAUACAUUUUGCAAACCAGAGUGAAAUAGAGGGUGAUUUUACAGGGGAAGAUUAUAUUUCAAUAGACACUAUAAUACAUGUUUAUAGAUAUUAGACUUUAGUUUUUCCAAUUGUCUUUGAAAUUUUUAUUUUACUUCUGUUAACUGGACUGGAUCUUGAAUUCUUCACCUCCUGAAAUAUCUGGCUAAAAACCUCCAAACCGAGAUUUUCAGGGUUUUUCCCCCCAUUAUUUUCAUUUAGAGUCAUUGAAAACUAAAUCUGCCCUUUUUCUAAAGCCUUACAAACUGAAGCUGGAGGACCUAAUAGAAACUUCAGAGAGAUUCAUGUCUGCAGCUGUGUAAGCCACUCAAAAAGCUACCUGAGUGCCCGAUGACACCAUCUGAGACAUUUCAAACUGCAGAAGAUGCUUCGACCCUGACUUCCAGGAAUCUUGAUUGGCUGCCCCCUGGGCUCAGAAACUGGUUUAUAAUUUGCUCCAACGAUUAACCUUGUUUUUCUCUUUUUGUUUCUCUAGAAAAUCUUCUUAUUAAAUACCUGGUUACUUACUUACAUGAUACAGGCCUACCUUCAGGAGCCCACCAGCAUCACCGCCUUAUUAAAAGACUGGUUCAAUGAGAUGAAACGACCUAUGCCCCAUUUCAGCAGGAAGUAGCUAGAUCCGUCGCCGCCCCAAAUCCCUCAAGAUUGAGGGAGGACAUAAAAUAGGGGGGAGUUGAUAUCGACCCUGAUAUCAGUUUCCCCACAUUAAACUCAGCAUGUAUGGGGUUAAAACCAAAACACUCAUUCCCUGCUUACUCUCUGGCUUCCUGGCUCCAGAAUCCACUAUCCUCCAUGAAGACAGACACCGCCAAGGACAAGCACCUGGACUAUCUCCUCCCGCAAAGAGAUCCGGGCUGAUGGGGAAGCUCCAACCAGCAAGGCCAUAUGCUCCCCCUCCCCUACCUAAAACCCCAAAUAAAAACCCUUCCUUUUAGCUUUUCGGGGAGUUUGGGAUUUCAGCGUUAGCUACCCUCUCUCCUUGCUCAGCACUGUGCAAAAAUAAAGUUCCUACUUUCUUCCACCACCCCCCGUGUCAGAGAUUGGCUUGCUGCACAACGGGUGAGGGAACUCACUUCAUGAUUGGUAACAACAUGACCUCCUUUCACCUCAGUUACUUCUUCAAAGGCACUGUCUUCAAACACAGUCACAGGCUGAGGUACUAGGAGUUAGGACCUUGUCAUAUGAAUUUUGAGGGGGACACAAUUCAG